GAUGAACGCUAGCUACAGGCUUAACACAUGCAAGUCGCGGGGCAGCAUGGGGGUUGCUUGCCAUCCCCGAUGGCGACCGGCGCACGGGUGAGUAACGCGUAUCCAACCUGCCCUUCACCACGGGAUAACCCGGCGAAAGUCGGACUAAUACCGUAUGUUGUCCAUUGACGGCAUCCGAUUUGGACGAAAGGCUUGGCGGUGAGGGAUGGGGAUGCGUCCGAUUAGCCAGACGGCGGGGUAACGGCCCACCGUGGCUACGAUCGGUAGGGGUUCUGAGAGGAAGGUCCCCCACACUGGAACUGAGACACGGUCCAGACCCCUACGGGAGGCAGCAGUGAGGAAUAUUGGUCAAUGGGCGUAAGCCUGAACCAGCCAAGUAGCGUGCAGGAUGACGGCCCUAUGGGUUGUAAACUGCUUUUAUGCGGGGAUAAAGUGGCCCACGUGUGGGCUUUUGCAGGUACCGCAUGAAUAAGGACCGGCUAAUUCCGUG
rnacentral:rRNA from 1 species